ACAUUGAUGGUUUAGGUCUUCCGGCUUUGUUCUCUUUGCAUGAACCAUACUAGCAUUUGGCCAUUAGAAGUAACAGGCAUGUAGAUGCCAGACCACUUAAAUGUAAAGAAAAUCUGUGUAUGAAGAUACUCAUAAAAACAGAAAAUGAAUUGGAAGUAAUCAUAAUUUGAUUUUUUUUUUCUGGUAUGCCUCUCAAGUUCUAAUGGAUCAAAAAAGGAACCGUCAAAGAAUACUUAAAACCCUUUAAACUGUGUUGAGACCGUCUGUCCUGCGUCCUGGCUUGGUCUCACAGUUUCCCUCCUGUUUUAGGUGCCCACCAGCUGACCUCUCCUCCUUCUCAGUCAGAGUCUCUGCUGGCCAUGUUUGAUCCACUGUCUUCACAUGAAGGGGCUUCUGCUGUGGUAAGGCCAAAGGUUCACUAUGCUAGGCCAUCGCAUCCACCACCAGAUCCCCCAAUCCUGGAAGGAGCUGUGGGAGGAAAUGAGGCCAGGUUGCCAAACUUUGGUUCCCAUGUUUUAACUCCAGCUGAAAUGGAGGCAUUCAAGCAAAGGCAUUCUUACCCUGAGAGACUAGUU
rnacentral:lncRNA from 10 species